AUAUAGUUCAAGGAAGGCCUGUACAAGACACGAUGAGGAGGGCCUGCAUAUAGUACUGUAUUUGCGUAAAUGACUGAAUAAAUACUGUAUCACUGGUAUAAAAAGAAAAUACUGGAUUGCAAGGUGUGAGAGACGGCCAGGGCUAGUUACGCAAAUACAGUACUAUAUGCAGGCCCUCCUCAUAGUUUCUUGUACAGGCCUUCCUUGAACUAUGUUGUUCAUCUGAAUUUAAGUCGCUGUUUGCGACUUAAAUGAAAAACGAUUUCAAUGAAAAAGAAGGUCUCAAGUUGGCUGCACUUUCUGAACCAGUUCACGAGAGUGCCAUGCACAGUGCUGCAUGCAUUCACGCUGUGCAAGUACAGCACAGCAGUGAGUGCCGUGUGGUCUUCGCAAAUAGAGGAGAAAAGUGCAGCAAUAAACCAGCUCUGUGGAGGCAGCCAAGACAGACAAGCUUCUCUAGUCGAACUGUCUUAGCUUAGCACAGCAGCCUCUUGCAAGCAGCUUCACAUGCUGCAUCCUUCUUCUCUCGAUUGAUGGGCCACUCUAGUAUUUGGGGCCAUCUUUGUAGAGUUAUCUAAGUGCAAUGUGCCAGCCCAAAUUGCUGGUACUACGGGUCCUGCCAUGAAUGCAUGCAGCUGCACAUCUGCCACAAUGAGGAUGACGUCGCCACUGACGCAACCAAUCAAUCGGCACUGCAGCCUAUGUUACACAUAACCCUCCUGCUCUCCACCACAACGUCAAAACCUGUUUUACUCUGCAACAAAAGCUGCACGUUAAAGAACUCCAGCAAUUUUGUGACUAUUUCUAGUAAUGGCAAUUUUAUGUUCCUGAGACACUCCUGUCACGUGCUCAACAGUAGAAUUUCUCUGCAUAUUUGAAAACUUUAAGCAAAAGAAGUGCAAGAAGUAUAAUGAAAUUUGGGCGUGCAGUCGAGCAAACUCAUUCACGUGACGUAAAUUGUGGCACACCAGUGCAGCACACACAAGGCAUGCUGGUCCCACCAGCGCAGAGAACUGAAGUGGCAAAGAGCAGACGCUUAGCCGAUUUGUGACCGCGCCUGACGAAUGUCACAAUGUCUUUGAGCGACAAUGUCAGCUCCGCCAGCUCUUCUGAGUUGUCGAACAGUGACAGCUGUGAUUCCGAUGAAUUCAAUAACCAUGAACCAUCGUUUGCAUUCAGCCCACCGCCAUGAGAGCAAGCGCCCAGUGCAGCACAUCACGCCGCAACAUGAAGACCAAGGGUAACACUAACCACUGGUUUGAAACAUGCUGCUUGCUAUUUUAGGCGUCCUACUAUGCUUGUGCAAACAUCAAUUUUUUUUUUUUCUAUGUCGAAGUAAAUAGUAAUUAGUGCGGAAUAAUUGCAAAGCAAAUAGUUAAAGUAGUUUUGGGUGUUGCAGAAAAUUUUAAUGCAAGAGCCAGAUGUUGACAAAUCUAAAAAAAUUUGGUUCAUUACACUGUGAAAAUCUCUAUAAUCAAUUUACCUUCAAAGUGAACAUAUUCAGAUAUUUAUUGUGAAAAAAUGCGAGUUAAGCAUUUCGUGCAACUCCAGCCGCCACAAAAGUUUGUUCACAGGUUCUUGCUCACUGUUAUGCUUCAGCCUACUUAAAAUAUUGUUGUGGCAGGUUUGGGCCAGGAGAGCGUUUUGCAUUCGCCCAUUGUACGAUGCUGUGAAAUGCGGCCUUGACUGCGCGACGCUGGCUGCUUCUGCCGUCUGAAAUCCAGCUUCAUGCUUUUCAUCUACUUGUAAGCUUAACCUGUCCUGUAAGAGCACAGACGAAGUUAGUGGGCACACUCGCCGCUUUUGUAGUUCUCAGUCUACCCCACAAGCAUUAUCUGGAGCUCGAUCACUGAUGAACUUCCUGUGACUGUUUGUCGUCCAUCACCGUACCUGCCUUGGCUGUUAGGUCUAAUCAGUACUGUUUCACUUGUGUCGGCCAUGAAAAUUAUGGUUUAGUGCCAUGUCUGCAAAAAUCUAUUCACAGCGGCUAUACGGCUCUCGGAAAACUGUACUCCUUCUUGAGGACCUAGAGAAUUAAAACAAACAAUUUUGAAUUUUUUUUAUAAUUACCAUAUUUUUGUGCAUAAACAUACAUUAAUAUUGUUUUUUUUUUGUAGUUUAGUAGUGAACUCGAGGUUCAGCUUAUAUUCAAAUUUCAGCUUGAAGUGUGGCUUCAUGGCAGUGCAGCCAGUGCUGCUGUGAAACCACCUUUAGGGCAAAGUUCUCUGCAAUCAGCGUUGCCAAAGAGGUGCAGAAGGAGCCACUGGCAGAAGAUAUAACAUCUGCGAAGGGAGACUAUAUUUAACAAAGAUUUCUGCAUGGUAUGCCAUUAUUUCCGUGAGUUAUACAAGCGCAUUUUCUAUCUUUUCGUGCUGUCAUAACUGGGGGUGCGGCUUAUAUGCAAGAAAGUAUGCAUAUUUGUUUUGAAUACUUAGAAAAAUUCAUAUAGUGAAAUUCGAGCCAAAUAAAAUAUCGAAUAACAUAACAUUUGUUCUAAUAUUGGAAUUAUGAAUUUUCGCACAAGCCUAUGUCUUGCCCCUUCUCAAGGAAGCGCUUUGCAUAAUCACUAUAAAAUGUCUUGAAGUGCUGCUUUUUGCAACUGUAUGCUGAUUUACAGAGAGCUCAAGUUCCCCGGAAAAGCCACACCAACAGUACAAAGCACCAACCCGUGCAUUUAUUUACAUCAGGAGCCAGCUGCGGCUGCGGAGGUGGCGAGCUUCCGAGCAGCGAUCGUGGAACCCUUCCCCACCUGCUGCGGCGACUCGUAUUGUAGGGGCGACGAUGUGUCGCAUCAACACCCCCACGGCGCCGCUGUGACUAAAUGUGGUCGGCAGACCAAGUAUUGUUAGUGGAUUCGCUGUUGCCGCCACGGCUUGUUAGAAGCGAUGGAAAUCCUGGGAGAAGAUGUCUUGCGGCCAUCUCACGGGGCUUAGAAGUCACGGACAGACACGGCGGCCAUUGUCUGCAGGGUCAACACUGGGAUGAAGAGGCACCUGCUCGGGGCAGGACCCAUGUCUGCGAGAACCCUCUCACCUUGGUGUGGUCAGUGAAACCUGUGCGGAAGUGAGUGUGUAAACCCUCCCCCUCAAAGGCGGGUCGGCUACGAUUACUUUGGACGCUCCGUUUGGUCAAACGGCCGUUUAUCCCUCACAUAGGAAUCUAGGGAGGACAGAGUGUAUUUAAGGAGCCGUUGGUGGCUCCUCAGUGUGCAUUCCUCUUUCAGUUAUGUUAGACUGAUGAACUGUAACAUUCUCAUGUAGAUACUGUAAAUAAAACCCAUAUUCCUCGUU